rnacentral:rRNA from 1 species
GACGAACGCUGGCGGCGUGCCUAAUACAUGCAAGUCGAACGCAGUGGGGACGGGUGAGUAACACGUGGGUAACCUCCCAUCAGAGGGGAUAACACUUGGAAACAGGUGCUAAACCGAUACUGAUGGAUGAACCCGCGGUGCAUUAGCUAGUUGGUGAGGUAACGGCUAACCAAGGCCAAGAUGCAUCGCCGAUCUGAGGGGGGUAUCGGCCACACUGGGACUGGGACAAGGCCCAGAAUCCUACGGGAGGCAGCAGUAGGGAAUCUUCGGAAAUGGAGGAAAGUUGGACCCAGCAACGCCGCGUGAAGGAAGAAGGUUUUCGGAUCGUAAAACCCUGUUGUUAGAGAAGCGGUAUCUAACCAGAAAGCCACGGCUAACUACGGGCCAGCAGCCGCGGUAAUUC